AAGGACGGCCUCGCCAACCUGAACGCACCCGAUCCCAUCUGAUCUCAGAAGCUAAGCAGGGUCGGACCUGGUUAGUGCUUGUAUGGGAGACCACCUAGGAAGACCAGGUGCUGUACGCG
rnacentral:rRNA from 1 species